AGAGAGAGAGAAAGAGAAAGAGAGUGAGAUAGAGAGACAGAGAGAGAGCGAGGCGCCAACUUUGAGCUCUGGUGGCCGACAAUCUUGAAGGUGGUUCCGACCAAGGAGGAUGUCAUUCAACUCUUGGUAGCUCAAGCAUUCUUUUGGGACCUUCCUUGCCAGUUUUAAUGGUGGUUUUCGGUGAGAACAGGAAGAGAGAGAAAUGGAUUUGUCAGUGGCUUUCUGACCACUUUUCGAGUGAUCCGACCGUCAGAUAAAAAAUUUGAGACUACCAUUGAAUUCAGACCGAUGAAACCUUCGAGAUGGGACUAACCCCGCUCUGAUUGGACACCAUUUG
rnacentral:misc_RNA from 1 species